rnacentral:rRNA from 1 species
AUACGAAGGGGGCAAGCGUUAUUCGGAUUUAUUGGGCGUAAAGGGCGCGUAGGCGGCUUUGGAAGUCCGGUGUGAAAACGCUACCGCUCAACGGAGCGAGUGCGCUGGAAACUCCAAAACUUGAGUCUAGGAGAGGCGGGCAGAAUGCCUGGUGUAGCGGUGGAAUGCUUAGAGAUCAGGCAGAAUACCUGAGGCGAAGGCGGCCCGCUGGCCUAUGACUGACGCUGAGGCGCGAAAGCGUGGGGAUC